rfam:Pteropus alecto contig7804, whole genome shotgun sequence.
GUCUACGACAGUGCUAUCCUGAACAAGCCUGAUCCAUCUGAUCUCGGAAGCUAAGCAGGGUCAGGCCUGGUUACUACUUGGAUGGGAUACCACCUAGGAAGACCAAGUGCUGUAGGCA